CCAUAUUGACCCUAGACGUAAGAAUUUAUAUAAUAUUACUUAGAGAAUCGGUCCCAGAAGACAUCUCGGCCCAUCGUUCGAUGAUCGGCCGUUUUCGUUUUCGAUUAGAAUCUUUUAAAUUUAAUUAAAAAGGGAACUGCGAAUGGAGAUGGAGUGGCUCCGGAGGAGAUUCCGACGGAGGAACGCGGUGGCGCCGGAGGAAGGGAGUUCCUCGGACGGCUCUGACGAGACGUUCGAGGACCCGGGGCUCGACUGCGUCUCUGCCGAAUCGAUUAGUAUGGCGUCGUUUGAGACCGUCGAGCGAGAGGCAGCGGGUGGUAACGACCUUCCCCGAGUGCGUGUGGUGUGGCACUCUCCCGGAGGCGGGAGAGUUCUGAGUCCAUUCCACUUGGCCAAGGUCGUCAGGGGUCAGUCGGCCACAGGCCUUGUUGUGGAAGAUGUAGGGAGUGAUGUCUCGUCCGAGUCUUCUUCUUGGAGUACGAUAUCGCUCCCUCUUGUCGGGAGUUCUGCCUCUUUGUCCGUGACGGGGAUGCCAUCGCUUUCCGGAAGUCCGAACGGGGAGGAAUCGGAGGAGAGUGCCGUCGGAGUCGAGGGACCGUGGUGUCUGCGGUUCUGUUGCUGAGGGUGGCUGCGGUUCCUUUGGCCUAAGCGGUGAUCCUCUUCGAUUUUUCCCAAUUCGUCCUUCUUCACUCGGAUGGGACAUUCUUACCGGAUUCGACACUUUUCACCCGGACUCGACACCUUUUCCCGGACAUGACCGUCUCUUACCAGGAUGCGACCCCACGGACUUGUCUGCCGAACGUGACACUCGGUCGACGACGACGGAUUUGACUCCCGAUUGUGACGACGCAGACGUGACACAAUCGGGUUUUUUUUCACCGGACGCGACAUUCGGCCGACCUUUCUUCCUAAACAGGCAUUAUGAGGAUUGAGCUUUCGGUUAGGUUAGGUUAGGCUAGGUUAAGUCCUUUGCUCUUCUCAUGACACUGUUCGGGAAAAAAGAUUGUCUGAUAAAGGUAGUUAUGUUGACCUUAGAUAAUAAAUGAAUGAACUUCUCGCUUUCUCACUGUCUUUGUGUUUUGUAGGAACAUUUGGGAGGGAGAAUCUCCCUCCCCAAGUUUACCACGAAGAGGAUGACUUGGCCAUUCAUCAUACAAGUGAAUAUUUUCCGAAAUUUCCGAUAACAUGCCGAAGAUGUUCUUGGACAUCACACAAAUAUAUACACACACACACGGACAUAACAUCAUUGUACAUGAAGGUAUAUACACCGUUUAAUCUUUACUCGAAUUCUCGCACUCACGCACUUACACGUCAAGCGCCUGGUUCUCUGUAAUUCGACACAAUGAAACAACCCGAACACUCGCUUCCCACAAAUCCAACCCCUGGGUCCUCGUCCCGGAAAGUGGAAACGCCAAUUUUAAAGACUAAAAGCUUUAAAUUGGCGGCCGAAGGGGCUGUGGUAAUCACAAUUUGCAUCGAUCAAGAAACAAAAUUUUUUCCAUAAAAAGCGAUGUCUAAGAAAUUUUGAUGUGGAUCUCAUUAAAACUUACAUUUAAGAGAAUAAAAAUUUUGGAACUUGACUGUUGUAAAUAAAUUGAGUUGUCGUUUGAGAAGGAAUACGUGGAAUGCCAUUUGUUGGAACUACUGUUAAAAAGAACAGAUUCAGAAGUAAAUUUUGAUAAACAAUCACUUUUCGACGAAUUUGUUUCGCUCAUUUCAGACUUUUUCUUGUGCAGAUGUUCUGCCUGUAUAAUUUCAUUCACAUCCACAGAGGGUUGUAACUAAAAUGUAAAAUUAUAUCAUAGUUUUUUUUUGUUAAUUGUAAUAUAUAAUAUUUCACAGUAAAAUGAUACGUGUCUCAAUUUUAUUUUGAUGUCUCGAUAUUCUCCCAAAUUUAAAUUUGUCAAUAAAUUUGAAUGAACGCAAGGCUCAUUUACAUCAGAAAUGCCGGUGAAAACGACGUGCAGACUGACAAAAGUUGGUACGAAGUGGUUGU